rnacentral:lncRNA from 1 species
CCCCAAAGGAGAGAAUAGCUUACUCACCCUUUGUUUCUCCCCCGAGCAAUGGAGACUUUUCUUGUCAGUGCCUGGAAAAAGAAGAUGAUAAGACAAGCAAACUCAUUACAUUCUAGAAUAAUAACAACAGUGGAUAUUAAUCAAAUAUCUGUUACAUAUCUGAUCUAACUCCCAAUUGGGUAAUAGGCUCAUUGACAAUGGUGAGGACGGGCCUCUUUACCUGUGGUCAGUGCUCAGCAUAGCUCUAAACGUUGGAGAAGCCUGUGAAUAAACCUGACUGCUGAGAGCAGCUGCAUACGGAGCACCACUUAGCUGUUCCUACCACUCCAGAGGCUGCCGUGACAGCUAAUCCCACUGCAGGUGCAGCAGCAGUGCCUUUCAAGUCCUUUAGGCUCAACCUGCUGGCAACAGCACCAGCAGGAGGAAUUCACUGGAUGGUUUGCCAUUCCCCAUUUUAGCAGUAAAGUAAUUCCUAAAAUGGGGAGAGAAAGCAUGAUGAUAAAUACUGCAACUUGACCCUUCAGAAAUUGAUGAUUUCAUCAGACAAGGGCGCCACUGUAUAGUUAUUCCAGUGUUAAAGA